ACGAGAAUCUACUGAAAGAGUCUUCGGACAAUGGAUGUAGAGGAAAGUGGCGGACGGGUGAGUAACGCGUGAGGAACCUGCCUUGAAGAGGGGGACAACAGUUGGAAACGACUGCUAAUACCGCAUGACGCAUAGAGGUCGCAUGAUCUUUAUGCCAAAGAUUUAUCGCUUCAAGAUGGCCUCGCGUCUGAUUAGCUAGUUGGCGGGGUAACGGCCCACCAAGGCGACGAUCAGUAGCCGGACUGAGAGGUUGAACGGCCACAUUGGGACUGAGAUACGGCCCAGACUCCUACGGGAGGCAGCAGUGGGGAAUAUUGGGCAAUGGGCGCAAGCCUGACCCAGCAACGCCGCGUGAAGGAAGAAGGCUUUCGGGUUGUAAACUUCUUUUAAGAGGGAAGAGCAGAAGACGGUACCUCUAGAAUAAGCCACGGCUAACUACGUGCCAGCAGCCGCGGUAAUACGUAGGUGGCAAGCGUUGUCCGGAUUUACUGGGUGUAAAGGGCGUGCAGCCGGGUCUGCAAGUCAGAUGUGAAAUCCAUGGGCUCAACCCAUGAACUGCAUUUGAAACUGUAGAUCUUGAGUGUCGGAGGGGCAAUCGGAAUUCCUAGUGUAGCGGUGAAAUGCGUAGAUAUUAGGAGGAACACCAGUGGCGAAGGCGGAUUGCUGGACGAUA
rnacentral:rRNA from 1 species